rnacentral:rRNA from 1 species
CAAUAGCGUAUAUUAAAGUUGUUGCGGUUAAAAAGCUCGUAGUUGGAUUUCUGCCGAGGACGACCGGUCCGCCCUCUGGGUGAGUAUCUGGCUCGGCCUGGGCAUCUUCUUGGAGAACGUAGCUGCACUUGACUGUGUGGUGCGGUAUCCAGGACUUUUACUUUGAGGAAAUUAGAGUGUUUCAAGCAGGCUUACGCCUUGAAUACAUUAGCAUGGAAUAAUAAGAUAGGACCUCGGUUCUAUUUUGUUGGUUUCUAGAGCUGAGGUAAUGAUUAAUAGGGAUAGUUGGGGGCAUUCGUAUUUAACUGUCAGAGGUGAAAUUCUUGGAUUUAUGAAAGACGAACUUCUGCGAAAGCAUUUGCCAAGGAUGUUUUCAUUA